GAUGAACGCUGGCGGCGUGCUUAACACAUGCAAGUCGAACGGAGUGCCUUUGAAAGAGGAUUCGUCCAAUUGAUAAGGUUACUUAGUGGCGGACGGGUGAGUAACGCGUGAGGAACCUGCCUUGGAGUGGGGAAUAACACAGUGAAAAUUGUGCUAAUACCGCAUAAUGCAGUUGGGCCGCAUGGCUCUGACUGCCAAAGAUUUAUUGCCUUUGGAUGAGCUCGCGUCUGAUUAGAUAGUUGGCGGGUAACGGCCCACCAAGUCGACGAUCAGUAGCCGGACUGA
rnacentral:rRNA from 1 species